UUCCAAGAACAACUGCCUGCAUCAGCUUGAAUGCUUCAUGUAACCUAUGCUUGAAAGCAUUCCUCUUCCGGCUACAGACACUAGUGAGCACGCGCGUGCUCCGCAACAGCGAACUGGUGCUGAAGCUGAGGAGGAGGCGCGCGCAUCACAUGAGCGCAUCGCAUUACAUCACUUUGCUACGACGUGAUUGGCUGAAGGUCAAUGCGUACUUCGCUCGCGGACUAUCACGUCCUAGUCUAACCAUAUAUCUCGACUCGAGACGAUAAUUAUUAUCGCUCUCAAAACAAAUCUAAUUAUAACCUUUCAAUUGAUUACACAUAUACUGUCGUUUGGUGCCCGUUUUGAGGAUGGCCGAGAGCGAGGCAGACACGCCAAGCACCCCGAUAGAGUUUGAGAGCAAAUACUUCGAGUUUGAUGGAGUACGACUUCCACCCUUCUGCAGAGGAAAGAUGGAGGAGAUCGCCAACUUCUCCCUCAGAAGUAGCGACAUAUGGAUUGUCACGUAUCCCAAGUCAGGUACUAGUCUACUUCAGGAGGUGGUGUAUCUGGUGAGUCAGGGGGCGGACCCAGAUGAGAUUGGUCUGAUGAACAUCGAUGAGCAGCUUCCUGUUCUGGAGUACCCUCAGCCUGGCCUAGACAUCAUACAGGAGUUGACGUCUCCUCGUCUGAUAAAAAGCCACCUGCCCUACCGCUUCCUGCCUACAGCCAUGCACAAUGGAGAGUCCAAGGUGAUCUACAUGGCGAGGAACCCUAAAGAUCUUGUGGUGUCUUACUACCAGUUCCACCGCUCCCUCAGAACCAUGAGCUACCGCGGAACCUUCCAGGAGUUCUGCAGACGCUUCAUGAACGACAAGCUGGGAUAUGGUUCCUGGUUUGAGCACGUGCAGGAGUUCUGGGAGCAUCGCAUGGACUCAAACGUCCUCUUCCUGAAAUAUGAAGACAUGUACAAAGACCUGGGGACGUUGGUGGGGCAGCUGGCGAGGUUCCUGGGUGUCUCGUGUGACAAGGCCCAGCUGGAGACCAUGGUGGAGAGCUGCAACCAGCUCAUAGAGCAGUGCUGCAACUCAGAGGCCCUCUCCAUCUGCAGGGUGCAUGGACCCUAGCCUCUGACCUGGUGCUGGUCUAACAUACAGCUCUGAGCUAAUAGGGCCAUAAACACACAUUCCCAUACACACUACUGGAGGACAGGUCGCGUGGGACUGUGGCAGGACAUCUUCACCGUGUCUAUGAAUGACAAGUUUGACACGGUGUAUAGACAGAAGAUGGGCAAGUCUGACCUGACCUUUGACUUCGGCCUGUGAGGACCGGACCGACUGACCACAACGACACGAACACGGACUACACUCCUCCUCCUGCUGCCUAAACACUGUACACUCCUCUGCCUCUCUUCAUCAAUCAAUCAAUCAAUCAAUCACGUAUUGGAUAUAAUGUAUAUAUCAAUCGCUCCACCGCCAAAGACUAUAGCUGUCAAUCAACCAACCAAUCAAUCACCCAAUAAAUUAGUCAGUCAACACACCAAUCAAUCAAUAUAAAGAUUGCAUCCUUAAAAAGCUCACAAAUAAAUUUUGAUUUAUCAAUCAAUCGGUCAGUUUCUCAGCCAAUCAGCGAGAUCCUGUUUUAGCCCAAUGUGGCACAGAUCCCAUCCCCCACCCCCAUUUAUGUCCCCCCUCUCCGCCCAUCAUUCCAUUCCUCUUCAGUAUGUACCGCUGUGUAUGUAUACCAGUGCUCUUUAGCGAGUUGUGUAUGUGGCAGUGGCCCAAAACCUGAGGGAAACGCAUGGAAGUUUGUGGCGCCGUCGCCAAACCAAUACAGAGGAAGCUUCCACAUCUCGUUCAACACUUAACGUUGAGACAGUGUUAUGUUUUUUAAACGCUGUAUGAAUGCUAUGGGAAUCAUAAGUCCAGCUCAGAGUCAAGUAUAGAGACCACCCAUGACUGCCCUUUGAUACAGAGCAAGUGUUCAGUUUUGGCUGUAUCCAGGUCAGUUCCUAUUUGACCUAGUCCUUCAUUUUAGCGUUUUUCACUUUCAGUACAUUACACAGCUUGUUUGUUACAAAAAGGCUUUCAAUGGGCAUUAGCUUAAUCAGCACUAGACUUUUUGUAACAGCCUUUCUUGCUGAAGUGAAUGGGGAUGAAUGGGGAUGUGAGUGUGUGUGUGAGUGUGUGUGUGUGUACAUGCUCGUGUGUGAGCAAAAUCACAAAAACAACACAUCACAACUGCCUUUCAUAUCAGUUCUGUUUGUUCAUGCUGCUAAAGUGAUGCCUUUCUCUGUCCUCAGACCCAUAGCCACCUAUAGAGUUACUGUACUACACUGAGACAACAGAGUAUCCCUCCAUGUUACCAGCAUUCUCUGUGUGCUAUCCCCCAAGUACAUGUCCCUUCAGACUGGAUCCAAAGUUGGAUGGAUGGAUGUAUUCAUCCCUCCCCAAAGGUUAGGCAUCAAAACAUCAGCGCCCUCUGUUUGUCAUCAGAGCCCCCUUUCUCUUCUAUUGCUUACAUCUUGUUCUCUUCCUCCUCUCUGCUGUAAAUGCCCUCAGACAGACCAGUAGACCCUCCCCUCCCAACCCCUCUGCUCUGCUGGACACUUGUGAAUGUGUUUAUUGAUGUGGAUGUAACAACCUCAACAGACCCCUCCCACAGGCUCAGUUCUCUGCUUUAGGACUUCCCUCUUUCACUUUCUCUCACUCACUCUCUCUGUGUGUUUCUCUCUCUCUCUGUGUGUUUCUCUCUCUCUCUCUGUUUCUCUCACUCUGUGUCUGUAUCUCUCGCUCUCUGUUUCUCUCUCUCUGUUUCUCUCACUCUGUCUGUAUCUCACUACCGAUUCAAUUCAAUUGGCUUUAGAAACAUGUGUUUACAUUGCCAAAGCAAGUGGAAUAGACAAUAAACAAAAAGGGAAAUAAACUGUCGUCAGCUUUUUCUCUCAUUCUCUCUGUUUACGACUUUUGGCAAUCCUGCUGCAGCCCACCUCUACAAGGGUAAUGUGGUGUACUGUUUGUUUGGUUUUUAUAUACCUGUAGGGUUGUCCUAACCUGGGCAUAAUGAAUCGUACUUUACAUGCUUGCUUGCUGGUUUAUUAAUAAAGUUAUGUAUUCAGGACAA